rnacentral:tRNA from 1 species
ACGAUUGCGAGAGUUCUAGUCUUGAUUUGAAAUCAAGUUAUUUGUAUUAAUAUACAACAGUCGUU